rnacentral:lncRNA from 1 species
GAGAAGGGACAAGUGCGGCCCGGAGGCGAUCUGUGCGCGAGGAGGCGCUGUGAAGACUGAGGCACAGCCCCUCCGAGGAAAGCCGAGAUUGUACGUUUCCUUGCCGGCUGAGCCGCGGCUCGUCCCCCGGAGCGACACAAAGAAGAAGUGGCCUUGCAUCCUGCUCCGCCUCCCGAGCCGGGUCCUUGGUCCCCGGAAGCCCUGGGCUGCCCCACUGGAGUUACCUUCUGUGCGUUCUCUCCUAAACCUACACGUUAUUCACGACUUUGUUCAUGACUAUGGAAAACAAAACAAAAACAAAAACCAAACCAAAGUUCCCUCGCCUGGCGAUGGUGCAAGCCUGUCUACCUGCUGGAGGAUGACCGACCGCCCGUGUCCCUGACAGCUGCUUGCAGUGGAGUUGGAGCUGGCCUCAGAUACACACUGAUGGAUUGCAGCAACCUGACGUACGGUGGGGAAGCCACCGCCCAUGUUAUUCGGUGAAUAAAGACAGGGAAGAGUACUUGGGUAGCA